GGCUUGAUAGUUCAGUGGUAGUAAGUUAACCGAGUCCACAAACGUAACGUUUCUGUUCUAACGUCAAUCUCAGGAAUUCUUGCUUUGGGACAAUCUCAAAAUUGUAAGAGGUCUCCGGUUCGAAUCCGGGUCAAGCCC